rnacentral:rRNA from 1 species
GAGCGAAGCACCUUGACGGAUUCUUCGGAUUGAAGCCUUGGUGACUGAGCGGCGGACGGGUGAGUAACGCGUGGGUAACCUGCCUCAUACAGGGGGAUAACAGUUGGAAACGGCUGCUAAUACCGCAUAAGCGCACAGUACCGCAUGGUACGGUGUGAAAAACUCCGGUGGUAUGAGAUGGACCCGCGUCUGAUUAGGUAGUUGGUGGGGUAACGGCCUACCAAGCCGACGAUCAGUAGCCGACCUGAGAGGGUGACCGGCCACAUUGGGACUGAGACACGGCCCAAACUCCUACGGGAGGCAGCAGUGGGGAAUAUUGCACAAUGGGGGAAACCCUGAUGCAGCGACGCCGCGUGAGCGAUGAAGUAUUUCGGUAUGUAAAGCUCUAUCAGCAGGGAAGAAAAUGACGGUACCUGACUAAGAAGCCCCGGCUAACUACGUGCCAGCAGCCGCGGUAAUACGUAGGGGGCAAGCGUUAUCCGGAUUUACUGGGUGUAAAGGGAGCGUAGACGGCAUGGCAAGUCAGAUGUGAAAGCCCGGGGCUCAACCCCGGGACUGCAUUUGGAACUGUCAGGCUAGAGUGUCGGAGAGGAAAGCGGAAUUCCUAGUGUAGCGGUGAAAUGCGUAGAUAUUAGGAGGAACACCAGUGGCGAAGGCGGCUUUCUGGACGAUGAC